CCUACGGGAGGCAGCAGUGAGGAAUAUUGGUCAAUGGACGAGAGUCUGAACCAGCCAAGUAGCGUGAAGGAUGACUGCCCUAUGGGUUGUAAACUUCUUUUAUAUGGGAAUAAAACGUUCCACGUGUGGGAUUUUGUAUGUACCAUAUGAAUAAGGAUCGGUUAACUCCGUGCCAGCAGCCGCGGUAAUACGGAGGAUCCGAGCGUUAUCCGGAUUUAUUGGGUUUAAAGGGAGCGUAGGUGGAUUGUUAAGUCAGUUGUGAAAGUUUGCGGCUCAACCGUAAAAUUGCAGUUGAAACUGGCAGUCUUGAGUACAGUAGAGGUGUGCGGAAUUCGUGGUGUAGCGGUGAAAUGCUUAGAUAUCACGAAGAACUCCGAUUGCGAAGGCAGUUCACUGGACUGCAACUGACACUGAGGCUCGAAAGUGUGGGUAUCAAACAGGAUUAGAUACCCCUGUAGUC
rnacentral:rRNA from 1 species